ACAAUACAAGGAAAUUUCUAUAGAAAAUCAAAUCACAAGGAAUUGAACCAGAACGGGUUUUAAUUUGAUUAGAAAUCUCUUCUUCGGUUAAACCAGAUUUCAGAGUUCUUCAUAUGUCUCUAUGCCAACAACAAUGAAGACCACUCAGCUGCCUGUCAUAACUUGCAUUAUUCUACUGUCUCCCGUGAAAACUUUGAGCAAAGCUGUUACUGCGCCAGCACCUGCAGCCUAUGGCAAUGAUGAUGAUUGCCCUUAUGUGGAUCCUGCAACUGCCUUCCUAGUGCCUCUCAAGUACUGCCUUGAGAGAGACGACGAGUGUGACACGCACGAGGAUUGCUUCUCGUCUUGCUGCACGAUGGAUAUUUGCGGACACAAAAAGUGUUCUGAAACUGAUACUCGCAAGACAGCAGAGUAUUGAUUUCAAGAAGUCGUGAGUCCAGGGUCAGAAUUUUCGCAAUCAUGACACUCCAUUCGACCUUGAGGGAGCCGAGUGGUUGUGAUCACCAUGAUUAGAGCAGAUUGUUGGGUUUCGAAACCUGCCAAUAGUCGUGAGAAUUUUGGACGAAAUCACAAAGUUAGGAAUCGGUGGAACUUAGGAAUCCCAACUAAUCGGUAACUAAUCGAUGGCGACACCCCAAAUUCUAGCUGAUCCAACUAUACUAUAGAAUAGUAUGUAUAGAUUAUGAUUCACUUGCGCUCAGCUUGUCAUAACUCAGCUUGUCAUAAAAAUAAUAUUUGUUCAGCAUUAGUUUUAGAUCUGGUAUCAAUAAUUAGCUUCGGCUUUACUUGCACUUAUUCGAGCCUAUCUUCAGGUCGCUAAUGAUGCACAGAGGUAAAAUUUCAAGACAAAGAUGAAAAACGAGGCCUAGACAAGUUAGAAAAAUUGAGUCACGUAAUUGGGUAUUGAGGAAACUUUUAAGCGAUCCAGAUAGCUGAAAUUUGAAUAGCAAUAUUAGCUGCUACGUUCAUUGGCUAGUGCACCCAUUAAAUAUUUAAACAAAGUAACAACUCCAAAUUAGUUAUGUAAUUUCAACCGAUCAGACCAACAAACAAAAAAACUCGAGUUGAAAAAGACGGAUUGACUUGCAUUCCUGGUCAUUUCUUCAGGUCAUUAAUUUAUAUAAUUAAUUUUCAACUUUAAUUUUAAAUACGAUUAAAUUAUAAAAAAGGACUGAAAAGUGCCUUCACGAAUGGUUA
rnacentral:lncRNA from 1 species